rnacentral:lncRNA from 1 species
AAAAUAGGUGAAGCCAGCCUGGGAUUUAAUUUGUGUCAGCAUCCAAUAUCUAAAUAGAGAAUAUUUGUAUCAUCAGACCAAGCACCUGAGUUCAGGAGAAUAAAAUAAUAAUAAUGACCCUGAACUGGAACAGCUUUACAUUGAAGCGUUUAACAGGGAGCUGGAAUUUUUUGCACCACGGGAUGCUGUAGAUGCUAAAAAUUUGCAUGGGUUGAAAAGUAACUGGAAAAGCUCCUGGGAGAAAAUCCGUUGAAGAUGCAUCAGCUGUAAACCCAAUAUGUCUGUGACUUUUCUCAUUGCUAUUCCCCAUUAAUGACCCCUAAGCAAUUUAGAUACAAACUUCACUUUUUUUUCCCUUUAUCUUAGUUGGGCUUACAUACUUUUCAUAUCACCUCACAGGAGAGCACAUUAUGUGCCUUUUCAAUGAAAAAGCCUGAGGCUGGUGCCAGGGCCAAAACAGGCUGCUGCAGAAC